GCGCCUCUCUGUGCUUUUUCGCACCAGCCACUUUGAAUCCAAUCAUGCAGGACGAGUGUCUAUUUGCUGCCGCAGAUUCUAAUUAGAGCCAAUCAUGAGAGUCCUUGAGCUCUGACAUCACGACAGAUGACACACCCCCAUCCCAUCCCAUGCGGGCGUGCGAACUCAGCCUUCAUCUCCAAAUGAAUGAUGGCACUGAUGCGCGUGGAUGAAAGGACAGACAGGAGGCGUUACUGAAGCACAUAUCCAGCAUGACAGUAGGGCACAGAGAACUGUAAAAGCAAGUCCUGAGGUAAUGCCUCAAUUGUGCCAGUUCCAAUCAGACCAACCCGCGCUGGUGAAGGUGAGCUGUACAGCUGCAUUUGUGUUUGUCUGUGCUUUUCUAGUGCUUUCUCUCAGGUACAGUGCAAAUGUUUCUGAUAGAAAUUCUGGGCUGUCAAAGCUGUGGCACAGUGGGUAGUACACGUGUUCAUGAUACGUAAGAGCUGCAUGCUCACGAAGUUAGAGGCUUAUAUUUCUCUUGUGUCAAGAAAUGUACUAAACAAAAAUUUUAAUAUCUUACUCACCCUUAUUAAAUCUCAUUCUUACAACUUGCAACAUUCCAAAUCCUUAGAAGUCACAUGGUCACUGAGGAACAGCAAAACGUGGGUCAUUAUUGACUGAUAAUCAUCACUUCUGCUGGAGCUCUCAAAUUUCAUUCACACUUCUGCAUGUUCAAACUUGCUGCAGUAAAUAAGGCACAUACAUGAAUGUAUUUAAUCACUUUGGGGAUCUAUGCAUUACCAUUUUUCUAAUAAUAAUAAUAAAAAAAAUAAAAUAAGAAAUGACUCCUCUAAA
ensembl:lncRNA